CACCUUUCAAAGUUCAAGAGGAGCAUCUGAACAGAAUGAAAGCAUUUUGUAGAAAUGGUAGUGAUGCUUUACAUCUACAUGCUCUUACACAAUAUGAACUUUCAUUUAUUCAAGAACAUAACACUAAUCCAAGCUCUUACUCUACAAGUCAAUUCAGUUUGUAGAUGCAAGCCAUUGUAAAAACUUUUGUGUUAUAAUUUCCGAAAAUGGAACAUGACAUUACUAAUAUAGAAUCAGCAAUGUUAUAUAACUUAUCAGACAAUAUAACAAGCACUUGGCGAGCAUAUAAGAUAAACUAAAACAAGUUAAUUAGAAAAUGAAACUAAAACCCAAGCUCCGCUAUUCAUUGUAGAAGCUUUAAACAUAAAAUUAAAGUAAAUCUAAUAGCAAAACAUUAGAAUGGAUGUUGGAAUUAAAGCUAAAUUCAAUAGUAAUCCAAAUGAAUCCAUUUGAACUUUGUAAACUCCGCAGAACAAAAUUAAUUUGAGUGAGCAAACUCACCAAUGGCACAAGAACAGAAGGGCUUCAACUUCUAGGAACAAAAAAAAUUGCCGGUGGGACAAAAAUUGACAUUAAUGGCUACAAUACGAAUUAAAGAAAUCAAAACCUAUAAUUACAAGCUAAGAAAGAGAAGAAACUCAUAAUCACAAGCUUACCUGAAACGAUGAGAGAGAGAAUAAGAUGAAGAAGAAGAUCGCUGCCGUUUUACGCCAUUCUCCGGCUACCAGUAAGGUUUAGGAUGGCCAGGCACGCACGGGAGAGAAUUUGGGACUUUGGUUUUCAAAAUAUUGACUUCAGCAAAUAGUUUUCUAUUUAGAAACAAAUUUAUAACUCUACCGUCAAAAUAAUAGAAUGCCAAUUGGCUCUCUACCGUCACGUGGUCAGUAACAUAAGUGAGAGCAGUCUAGCCGUCACAUAAACGGUCACAAAAGCAACUGGCUGUUACAAGUUUAGGAAUGGCAGAUAUUGCCGCGGGGACAUGACCCUCGAGAUUUUCCCAAUUCAGGAGGGUACAUAAUUUUUUACUUAAUUUUUUAUUUGGAAAGGGGACGGAGAUAGGGAUGGAGAUAGUUUUUUUACCCAAUUAAAUUUCUUAUUCAGAGAAAGAAUGGGGAUGCGGCGGAAUCCCUAUCCCUUUCUAAUUUUUUGAUUUAAUUUUAAUUUUUUUAAAAUUAUUUGUAAAUAAAUAAUAAAAUAUUAGUAUAAAUAAAAAAAAUUAAAAUAAUUAUAUUAUUAAAAUUUAGGCCUAACUGACUACAUUAAUAUUUGGAUGAGAAAGUUAUGCCACGGAUGAAAGAUUUUAAUAAUUUGAGUUGGUGUAAAAUAAAUGUCUAUAGAUAUCCUAUAUUGGCACCUAGAGAUAUUUUGGCAAUUCUAAUUACAAAUGUUGCUUCUGAAUUAGCUUUUAGCACCAGUGGUAGAGUACCGUAACACGCUUUAUUCAAGCACAUUGGAGGCUUUAAUAUGUUGUCAAAGUUGACCACAAGCUUACAAUGGCAGUAUGAGUUUAUUUUAAUUAGAAUUUACAUUACUUAUAUCAUUUUUAUUGUUUUAAAUUUGAAAUCUGAGGCUAUCUCUCAAUUUGUCACAUUCCUAUGAAUAUUUUUUAUAAGAAAUCAACAAUAUUGUUGAAAGAAAAACCAAAUAAAAAUAAUAAAGCAAUGCAUAGAUUAAGGCUCUUUAUUAUCUAAUAACUAAUCAAACUAAGUUGUGGGUAAAGGCGAAUAUGUUUGUUUGGCCAAUAAUAAACUCAAGGAAUCACCAAUAAUCACCUAGUUACUAUUCCUUAUGCCAUGCAAUGUAAUGGCGUCGGUAAUGGCGACAAGGCAGGCAAUAACUAGCUAGCUAGUUAUGAUAGUUGCUUAACUUAACCUACUGGAAAUCUGAAGACCAAAAUGAAGAAACUUUGCCUAGAACUAGAAUAGGAAAACAUUCAUACCCAAAACCAAUAUACAUGAUUAAGAAACUUGAUUAUAUGUAUAUUUUUGUUUGCCACACCAAAUCCCACUAUUUCCAUACUCAUAAGCACAAAAAACCAUCGCAAAAAUGAAUGACCAUAUAAAAUAAAAUAGGUCGUAGGACAUUGAGAAUAGGACAACAUGAUUUAUGUACCGUAAAAUAACUAUAUCUGCAGUCAACUAUAUUUCUGUUAGAACUCUAAAGUUUUCCAUUAAAUUUUUUUCCCUGUUAGGUAAACCACUUAACUGAAACACUUAAGCAAGAUUGACAAUCAUAGACAUACAAGUAUUAAUAGGCUCGUUCAAGUGAAAUGAGCAUUAUUUCACAUAUCCUUUAGGCUUUUAAGUCAUUUAGAAGUCAUUCAUGUUAAACAAUUUCUUCAUAUACUUUCAAUAUAAUUAGUACAUACACAAUUAAUUAAUUAAAUAAAUCUGUUUCAGCUAGCACAGGAACUUAAGCAAUCAGAGCUAUUAGUUAUAGCUAGGACUUGAAUGAGGCACCUUUCAAAGUUCAAGAGGAGCAUCUGAACAGAAUGAAAGCAUUUUGUAGAAAUGGUAGUGAUGCUUUACAUCUACAUGCUCUUAC
rnacentral:lncRNA from 1 species